UACGGAGGGUGCAAGCGUUAUCCGGAUUCACUGGGUUUAAAGGGUGCGUAGGAGGGCAGGUAAGUCAGUGGUGAAAUCUCCAAGCUUAACUUGGAAACUGCCGUUGAUACUAUCUGUCUUGAAUACCGUGGAGGUGAGCGGAAUAUGUCAUGUAGCGGUAAAAUGCUUAGAUAUGACAUAGAACACCAAUUGCGAAGGCAGCUCGCUACACGAAUAUUGACUCUGAGGCACGAAAGCGUGGGGAUCAAACAGG
rnacentral:rRNA from 1 species